rnacentral:rRNA from 1 species
GACGAACGCUGGCGGCGUGCUUAACACAUGCAAGUCGAACGAGAGGAGAAGGAAGCUUACUUCUUUCAAAUCUAGUGGCAAACGGGUGAGUAACACGUAAACAACCUGCCUUCAGGAUGGGGACAACAGACGGAAACGACUGCUAAUACCGAAUACGUUCCUUAAGUCGCAUGACUUUAGGAGAAAGGGUGGCCUCUACUUGUAAGCUAUCGCCUGAAGAGGGGUUUGCGUCUGAUUAGGUAGUUGGUGAGGUAACGGCCCACCAAGCCGACGAUCAGUAGCCGGUCUGAGAGGAUGAACGGCCACAUUGGGACUGAGACACGGCCCAGACUCCUACGGGAGGCAGCAGUGGGGAAUC